UAAGGAAUAUUGGUCAAUGGACGCAAGUCUGAACCAGCCAUGCCGCGUGAAGGAUGAAGGUCCUCUGGAUUGUAAACUUCUUUUAUCUGGGACGAAAACGGGAUUUUUAUCUCAAUUGACGGUACCAGAGGAAUAAGCACCGGCUAACUACGUGCCAGCAGCCGCGGUAAUACGUAGGGGGCAAGCGUUGUCCGGAUUUACUGGGUGUAAAGGGCGCGCAGGCGGGAUAAAAAGUCAGUGGUGAAAUCCUACAGCUUAACUGUAGAACUGCCUUUGAUACUUUUAUUCUUGAGUUCGGGAGAGAGUGACGGAAUUCCCGGUGUAGUGGUGAAAUACGUAGAUAUCUGGAAGAACACCAGUUGCGAAGGCGGUCUCUUGGUCCGACACUGACGCUGAGGCGCGAAAGCGUGGGGAGCAAACA
rnacentral:rRNA from 1 species